rnacentral:rRNA from 1 species
AAAUUGAAGAGUUUGAUCAUGGCUCAGAUUGAACGCUGGCGGCAGGCCUAACACAUGCAAGUCGAACGGUAACAGGAAGCAGCUUGCUGCUUCGCUGACGAGUGGCGGACGGGUGAGUAAUGUCUGGGAAACUGCCUGAUGGAGGGGGAUAACUACUGGAAACGGUGGCUAAUACCGCAUAACGUCGCAAGACCAAAGAGGGGGACCUUCGGGCCUCUUGCCAUCAGAUGUGCCCAGAUGGGAUUAGCUAGUUGGUGAGGUAACGGCUCACCAAGGCGACGAUCCCUAGCUGGUCUGAGAGGAUGACCAGCCACACUGGAACUGAGACACGGUCCAGACUCCUACGGGAGGCAGCAGUGGGGAAUAUUGCACAAUGGGCGCAAGCCUGAUGCAGCCAUGCCGCGUGUAUGAAGAAGGCCUUCGGGUUGUAAAGUACUUUCAGCGGGGAGGAAGGUGUUGUGGUUAAUAACCGCAGCAAUUGACGUUACCCGCAGAAGAAGCACCGGCUAACUCCGUGCCAGCAGCCGCGGUAAUACGGAGGGUGCAAGCGUUAAUCGGAAUUACUGGGCGUAAAGCGCACGCAGGCGGUCUGUCAAGUCGGAUGUGAAAUCCCCGGGCUCAACCUGGGAACUGCAUUCGAAACUGGCAGGCUUGAGUCUUGUAGAGGGGGGUAGAAUUCCAGGUGUAGCGGUGAAAUGCGUAGAGAUCUGGAGGAAUACCGGUGGCGAAGGCGGCCCCCUGGACAAAGACUGACGCUCAGGUGCGAAAGCGUGGGGAGCAAACAGGAUUAGAUACCCUGGUAGUCCACGCCGUAAACGAUGUCUACUUGGAGGUUGUGCCCUUGAGGCGUGGCUUCCGGAGCUAACGCGUUAAGUAGACCGCCUGGGGAGUACGGCCGCAAGGUUAAAACUCAAAUGAAUUGACGGGGGCCCGCACAAGCGGUGGAGCAUGUGGUUUAAUUCGAUGCAACGCGAAGAACCUUACCUGGUCUUGACAUCCACAGAACUUUCCAGAGAUGGAUUGGUGCCUUCGGGAACUGUGAGACAGGUGCUGCAUGGCUGUCGUCAGCUCGUGUUGUGAAAUGUUGGGUUAAGUCCCGCAACGAGCGCAACCCUUAUCCUUUGUUGCCAGCGGUCCGGCCGGGAACUCAAAGGAGACUGCCAGUGAUAAACUGGAGGAAGGUGGGGAUGACGUCAAGUCAUCAUGGCCCUUACGACCAGGGCUACACACGUGCUACAAUGGCGCAUACAAAGAGAAGCGACCUCGCGAGAGCAAGCGGACCUCAUAAAGUGCGUCGUAGUCCGGAUUGGAGUCUGCAACUCGACUCCAUGAAGUCGGAAUCGCUAGUAAUCGUGGAUCAGAAUGCCACGGUGAAUACGUUCCCGGGCCUUGUACACACCGCCCGUCACACCAUGGGAGUGGGUUGCAAAAGAAGUAGGUAGCUUAACCUUCGGGAGGGCGCUUACCACUUUGUGAUUCAUGACUGGGGUGAAGUCGUAACAAGGUAACCGUAGGGGAACCUGCGGUUGGAUCACCUCCUUACCUU